ACACACACACACACACACACACACACACACACACACACACACACACACACACACACACACAAACACACACACACACACACACACACACACACACACACACACACACACACACACACUGUACAGACGUCCAAUAAACUCCAUAUUCAUCAGAAAAUAUAAACACCGGUUUGUAGUGGAACGUCUCCACCUGCUGGUCAAACAUCAGACUGCAAACGGGGUCGUCGCAGGUCGUCAGGACGAGCGCGUCACCAUGAGGAGCAGCGCACAUGUGCAACCUGACCUCCAGGGGGAGCUGCAGCAGCAGUUGGUCAAUAAAGUUUUACAAAGUGAAUAAAUAAUAAAACUUCUCAUUAACAUAAAACAAACAUGGGUUCUGCAGAACCUGGUUUUAUUUGUAUAAAUUAAACUGCACUUUAUUCAAAUCAAAUCUGCAGCUAAAAUAUCCAACACGAAAACGAUAUUUAUACGGUUUAUUUUGAAUUUAAAAAUUGAUAAAGAAAAGUCAAAUUGAUUCAUUUGAAUUAAUUAUUAUCAAAACAAAGACAUUUAAAUGAUACAAAGCAAAGAAAAGCUGAAAAUCCUCAAAUCUGGGAAUCAAAGAAAAGACUAAAUUUAUACUUUAAACAUUUUUUUCAUGUAUUAAUCGACUAAUCGUCACAGUUCAAAUCAAGAAUAACGUUUAAUCAGCUCUGCUCCGUCUUUACCCACAAGUUGAGUCGAUGGUUUUAACACAAACACACACUUACUCUACUACAACAACAACACACCCACACUGUCACUGCCGGACAGAGAAACUGUGCAUGUUUGAAUUCUGUAAAAGGCUUUUUGUUUGUUUUUGACUUUUAAAAAACUUGGUGAAUAAAUAAAAAAGUGAGCAGCGGUUAUUUAAUAAGUUAAAGUCAGGUGGCAGUGAUGGAUCUGAUCUGUACAUGAAUCCUUCUCUCUUCUCUGCUGUGUUCGUUUCCUGUUGUGUUUCCUGCAGACCUGUAGCUGCAUUAAUCUGCUUACUGAAGAAAACACAAAUAACAGACUGGACGUUUUGUUGCCUUUGGGGGGGGAAAUCAAUGCACAUGGAAGAAAAGCAAGCGAAGUUCUGUCCUGUUCGUUACGGAACAACGACAUGUGGUUGAAAAGAAAAACAAAUCUGCACACUUUUUGGAAAUGUAAUUUUUUUAAACUGCUAGUGUCGAAAGUGUUUUGUAAAGAUAAUAGAACAAUUAUAACGAUUUACACAACGCA